UAACUAUGACCUGGAUGAAUGACACAGUUCUGUUUCCUCUGCAGCUCCAACUGUAACACUGGUGGAGUAGAGGCUCCUCUGGCGCCAUCUUGUGGCAGAAAUGCAUCACUACAGCUAGAGGGUUUGUUCACUAUAACUGUUCGAUGUCUUUUGGAGACAAAACAAACUUUACAUGACUGUAACUGUAGCUCACACUGUUGGUGUCAUUAGCUGGAGGCUUGGUGUCCUGUCCUCUGGUCAGUUGUCUGUAAUGAGCAGGAUGAUACAGAGAAAGGAGGAUGGUGAUGAGUGAAUGAAGUCAGACUGUAGAUUCUCCUUGUUGGAACUUUGAUGUCAUGUGUUUGUGUCUCUUCAGCUCUGUCUCCUCUCACAGGGAGAAGAUGAUCUGCUGGAUCCUGCUGCUCAUCAAACUGACCUCCUGUGUCUGUGCAGGAACAUUUGUAGUGAAUGUGGCACAGACCUCCUAUCAGGCAGAGGAGAACCACAACAUCACACUGGACUGGACCUUCACCACCACCUGCUCAGAAAACCUCAGUCCUGUUUCGUCUCCAUGAGGGUGUUGAAGUCUCAGAGUCUCAGGAUGAAGAGUUUUCAGGACGAACCCAGUUUGACAAAGACGUCCUCAGAGAAGGACGAAUCAGACUUCAUGUGUCCAGACUCAGGACUGAGGACUCAGGUCUGUACCUGUGUGAAGUGAGGACAAAGUAUGGUGGGAGCUCUGAGAAAUGUCAACUCAGCAUCACUGCAGCUGAUAAGCCCAAACCUAAGAGAUCACCUGUGGUGAGAUCAACUGUGA